UACGAAGGGGGCUAGCGUUGUUCGGAAUCACUGGGCGUAAAGCGCGUGUAGGCGGCCUGUUAAGUCUGAUGUGAAAGCCCGGGGCUCACCCCCGGAAGUGCAUUGGAAACUGCCAGGCUCGAGUCCCGGAGAGGAGGGUGGAAUUCCUGGUGUAGCGGUGAAAUGCGUAGAUAUCAGGAAGAACACCAGUGGCGAAGGCGGCUCACUGGCCCGGUACUGACGCUGAGGCGCGAAAGCGUGGGGAGCAAACAGG
rnacentral:rRNA from 1 species